rnacentral:rRNA from 1 species
GACGAACGCUGGCGGCGUGCUUAACACAUGCAAGUCGAACGGCAAGGCCCUGCUUUUGUGGGGUGCUCGAGUGGCGAACGGGUGAGUAACACGUGAGUAACCUGCCCUUGUCUUUGGGAUAACUUCAGGAAACUGGGGCUAAUACCGUAUAGGAUCUCCUGCUGCAUGGUGGGGGUUGGAAAGUCUCGGCGGUUGGGGAUGGACUCGCGGCUUAUCAGCUUGUUGGUGGGGUAGUGGCUUACCAAGGCUUUGACGGGUAGCCGGCCUGGGAGGGUGACCGGCCACAUUGGGACUGAGAUACGGCCCAGACUCCUACGGGAGGCAGCAGUGGGGAAUAUUGCACAAUGGGCGGGAGCCUGAUGCAGCAACGCCGCGUGCGGGAUGACGGCCUUCGGGUUGUAAACCGCUUUCGCCUGUGACGAAGCGUGAGUGACGGUAAUGGGUAAAGAAGCACCGGCUAACUACGUG